CAGAUACUGCAAAGCCCUAGACCUCCUCGUAUAGAUAUUGCAAAGCCCAGGCUCUCCUUGCUGAUUUUCAUGACCAUCUGAUAGCAAGAUAGUCCUAGACAGACAGAGACACAGACUUGUGUGUCAGCUGAUUUCAUGCCCAAAUUCCUUCCCUUGAUGUUUACAUUGCAAGUUAUACAAAAGUAAAAGGUUGCGAGAGCAGACUAUGACAUAGCAUUUCCUUUUUGUGAAGACAGUAAUGGAAAGCCCCUGGAGAGUGACUCCCACGGCUGCUUCGGUUACUUCUCAAUGCCGGCCAUGGGCCUCUUCCCGACAGAUGAGGGCUUCCAGGGCAUCUACUGAGUGCCUGCUGUGUACACAUUUCUAAGAGUCCCAGACCAGAAUGUUCAUGUUCUGAUGAGACCUUAGCUUUCCUUGUGAAAGACUCAAGGCCAGAGUUGUCAUUGCCACUAGAAAAGUGGUAACCCUGAAACUAGAGUCACUUGAAAACUCAUUUUUUAUGGGUACAGUUUUAUGAAUGUGACCCUUUUUUUGCUGCUUCAUUCAGAAAAAGAAGAGAAUAAAAUUGGGCUGGGAGGGAGGGAGGGGUGAAGAAGGUAGAUGGAACCAACGUUCCCCUCUUUCUGGUUCUGCUGGAAAGUGAUAAACACUUCAACCUGAAGCUGGUCAAACCCUGAACUUCCACACGGGAAAUGGAGGGAGUAGGGCUCCAGGAGAGGGGCAGAAGAAUGGAGAGAGAAAUUGUGGUUAGAUACAGUCAUGGUAUUCGAUGUACAUGGUGACCAUGGAAACAGGAAACGAGGGC